CCCUUAGAUGUUCUGGGCCGCACGCGCGCUACACUGACGAAUGCAACGAGCUUAUAACCUUGGCCGAAAGGUCUGGGUAAUCUCCAAAUUUCGUCGUGAUGGGGAUAGAUUAUUGCAAUUAUUAAUCUUCAACGAGGAAUGCCUAGUAAGCGCAAGUCAUCAGCUUGCGUUGAUUACGUCCCUGCCCUUUGUACACACCGCCCGUCGCUCCUACCGAUUGAAUGGUCCGGUGAAGCGUUCGGACCGCUUCCUUUGGACGGGCAACCGUCUGCUGGUCGUGGGAAGUUCGUUAAACCUUAUCAUUUAGAGGAAGGAGAAGUCGUANCA
rnacentral:rRNA from 1 species